rnacentral:lncRNA from 1 species
UUCAGCUUGAGGCUUGCUGGGAUUCCCGUGUGCAACCAGGCCGCAGAGGGCACAGGACGGUGCUGGUCUCAUCAGGUGUGGCCUGUGCCCAUCAGGAGCAGCACCAGCAUCUUUCAGCUCCUCACACCCCAACUGCCCUAAAAACCCGUCACCUCAGCCCGGGGAUAUCCAUUUUACAUUUGUACAGCUGGGCCUUCUUCCAUCUGAACUGUUCCAAGGUAUACUCUGCUAUUUUGAC